CAGUAGCCACGGUAAUACGUAGGUGGCAAGCGUUGUUCGGAUUUACUGGGCGUAAAGGGCGCGUAGGCGGACUGAUAAGUCAGGGGUGAAAUCCCAAGGCUCAACCUUGGAACUGCCUUUGAUACUGUUUGUCUUGAGUUCGAGAGAGGUAGUGGAACUGCGAGUGUAGAGGUGAAAUUCGUAGAUAUUCGCAAGAACACCAGUGGCGAAGGCGGCUUACUGGCUCGAAACUGACGCUGAGGCGCGAAAGCGUGGGGAGCAAACAGGAUUAGAUACCCCAGUAGUCCCUGUCUUUAUACAC
rnacentral:rRNA from 1 species